AUUGAACGCUGGCGGCAUGCUUUACACAUGCAAGUCGAACGGUAACAGGCCGCAAGGUGCUGACGAGUGGCGAACGGGUGAGUAAUGCAUCGGGACGUGCCCAGUCGUGGGGGAUAACGCAGCGAAAGCUGUGCUAAUACCGCAUACGAUCUAUGGAUGAAAGCGGGGGACCGUAAGGCCUCGCGCGAUUGGAGCGGCCGAUGUCAGAUUAGCUAGUUGGUGGGGUAAAGGCCCACCAAGGCGACGAUCUGUAGCUGGUCUGAGAGGACGACCAGCCACACUGGGACUGAGACACGGCCCAGACUCCUACGGGAGGCAGCAGUGGGGAAUUUUGGACAAUGGGCGCAAGCCUGAUCCAGCAAUGCCGCGUGCAGGAAGAAGGCCUUCGGGUUGUAAACUGCUUUUGUACGGAACGAAACGGUCUGGGUUAAUACCCUGGGCUAAUGACGGUACCGUAAGAAUAAGCAUCGGCUAACUACGUGCCAGCCGCCGCGGUAACAC
rnacentral:rRNA from 1 species